GCGACUUCCAGGUUCAUGGAGGCGAGUUGCAGCCUACAUUUUUUUUUUAACUCUUAUCACUCAGGAUGAACGCUGGCGGCGUGCCUAAUACAUGCAAGUCGAGCGAAUGAUUAAGAGCUUGCUCUUAUGAAGUUAGCGGCGGACGGGUGAGUAACACGUGGGUACCUGCCCAUAAGACUGGGAUAACUCCGGGAAACCGGGGCUAAUACCGGAUAACUUUUGAACCGCAUGGUUCGAAAUUGAAAGGCGGCUUCGGCUGUCACUUAUGGAUGACCCGCGUCGCAUUAGCUAGUUGGUGAGGUAACGGCUCACCAAGGCAACGAUGCUAGCCGACCUGAGAGGGUGAUCGGCCACACUGGGACUGAGACACGGCCCAGACUCCUACGGGAGGCAGCAGUAGGGAAUCUUCCGCAAUGGACGAAAGUCUGACGGGCAACGCCGCGUGAGUGAUGAAGGCUUUCGGGUCGUAAAACUCUGUUGUUAGGGAGAACAAGUGCUAGUUGAAUAAGCUGGCACCUUGACGGUACCUAACCAGAAAGCCCGGCUAACUACGUGCCAGCAGCCGCGGUAAUACGUAGGUGGCAAGCGUUAUCCGAAUUAUUGGGCGUAAAGCGCGCGCAGGUGGUUUCUUAAGUCUGAUGUGAAAGCCCCGGCUCAACCGUGGAGGGUCAUUGGAAACUGGGAGACUUGAGUGCAGAAGAGGAAGUGGAAUUCCAUGUGUAGCGGUGAAAUGCGUAGAGAUAUGGAGGAACACCAGUGGCGAAGGCGACUUUCUGGUCUGUAACUGACACUGAGGCGCGAAAGCGUGGGAGCAAACAGGAUUAGAUACCCUGGUAGUCCACGCCGUAAACGAUGAGUGCUAAGUGUUAGAGGGUUUCCGCCCUUUAGUGCUGAAGUUAACGCAUUAAGCACUCCGCCUGGGAGUACGGCCGCAAGGCUGAAACUCAAAGGAAUUGACGGGGGCCCGCACAAGCGGUGGAGCAUGUGGUUUAAUUCGAAGCAACGCGAAGAACCUUACCAGGUCUUGACAUCCUCUGACAACCCUAGAGAUAGGGCUUCUCCUUCGGGAGCAGAGUGACAGUGGUGCAUGGUUGUCGUCAGCUCGUGUCGUGAGAUGUUGGGUUAAGUCCCGCAAGAGCGCAACCCUUGAUCUUAGUUGCCAUCAUUAAGUUGGGCACUCUAAGGUGACUCCGGUGACAAACCGGAGGAAGGUGGGGAUGACGUCAAAUCAUCAUGCCCCUUAUGACCUGGGCUACACACGUGCUACAAUGGACGGUACAAAGAGCUGCAAGACCGCGAGGUGGAGCUAAUCUCAUAAAACCGUUCUCAGUUCGGAUUGUAGGCUGCAACUCGCUACAUGAAGCUGAAUCGCUAGUAAUCGCGGAUCAGCAUGCCGCGGUGAAUACGUCCCGGGCCUUGUACACACCGCCCGUCACACCACGAGAGUUUGUAACACCCGAAGUCGGUGGGGUAACCUUUUGGAAC
rnacentral:rRNA from 1 species